rnacentral:rRNA from 1 species
AGGCGAACCGGGGGAACUGAAACAUCUAAGUACCCCGAGGAAAAGAAAUCAACCGAGAUUCCCCCAGUAGCGGCGAGCGAACGGGGAGGAGCCCAGAGCCUGAAUCAGCAUGUGUGUUAGUGGAAGCGUCUGGAAAGGCGCGCGAUACAGGGUGACAGCCCCGUACACAAAAGCGCAUGUGCUGUGAGCUCGAUGAGUAGGGCGGGACACGUGGUAUCCUGUCUGAAUAUGGGGGGACCAUCCUCCAAGGCUAAAUACUCCUGACUGACCGAUAGUGAACCAGUACCGUGAGGGAAAGGCGAAAAGAACCCCGGCGAGGGGAGUGAAAAAGAACCUGAAACCGUGUACGUACAAGCAGUGGGAGCCCCACCACUAAGCCAGUGGUGAACUCCACAUCCGCAUCCUUUGCUGAGGAUACGGUUAACGGAGCGAAAGCGACGUUCAACCGCAAAACAAGCAGAGGGGGCUUAGUGGUGGGGUGACUGCGUACCUUUUGUAUAAUGGGUCAGCGACUUAUAUUCUGUAGCAAGGUUAACCGAAUAGGGGAGCCGGAGGGAAACCGAGUCUUAAUUGGGCGUUAAGUUGCAGGGUAUAGACCCGAAACCCGGUGAUCUAGCCAUGGGCAGGUUGAAGGUUGGGUAACACUAACUGGAGGACCGAACCGACUAAUGUUGAAAAAUUAGCGGAUGACCUGUGGCUGGGGGUGAAAGGCCAAUCAAACCGGGAGAUAGCUGGUUCUCCCCGAAAGCUAUUUAGGUAGCGCCUCGUGAAUUCAUCUCCGGGGGUAGAGCACUGUUUCGGCUAGGGGGCCAUCCCGGCUUACCAACCCGAUGCAAACUGCGAAUACCGGAGAAUGUUAUCACGGGAGACACACGGCGGGUGCUAACGUCCGUCGUGAAGAGGGAAACAACCCAGACCGCCAGCUAAGGUCCCAAAGUCAUGGUUAAGUGGGAAACGAUGUGGGAAGGCCCAGACAGCCAGGAUGUUGGCUUAGAAGCAGCCAUCAUUUAAAGAAAGCGUAAUAGCUCACUGGUCGAGUCGGCCUGCGCGGAAGAUGUAACGGGGCUAAACCAU